rnacentral:rRNA from 1 species
CUGUCUUGUAAUUGGAAUGAUGGUGACCCAAACCCUCACCAGAGUAGCAAUUGGAGGGCAAGUCUGGUGCCAGCAGCCGCGGUAAUUCCAGCUCCAAUAGCGUAUAUUAAACUUGUUGCAGUUAAAAAGCUCGUAGUUGUAUUUUUGCGUUGACGGUUUGACCAUUUGGUUGGUUAUUUCGUUUUCGCUUUUGGGAAUUUCCCUUUUUACUUUGAGAAAAUUAGAGUGUUUCAAGCAGACUUUUGUCUUGAAUACUUCAGCAUGGAAUAAUAGAGUAGGACUUUGGUUCUAUUUUGUUGGUUAUUGAACCUUAGUAAUGGUUAAUAGGAACGGUUGGGGGCAUUCGUAUUUAACUGUCAGAGGUGAAAUUCUUAGAUUUGUUAAAGACGAACUACUGCGAAAGCAUUUGCCAAGGACGUUUCCAUUAAUCAAGAACGAAAGUUAGGGGAUCGAAGACGAUCAGAUACCGUCGUAGUCCUAACCCAUAAACUAAC